rnacentral:lncRNA from 1 species
UAGCUUAAAUAUUUAUAUUAUUCAUCUUGAUAAUAAUACAAAACUUUCACAAAUACAAGCUUACGAUCCAAAUGAACAAAAAGUACCAUAUAUUAUAUCAAAUUUCUAAUCAAGGUAACAAUGCAUAAUUUCAUAAGUUGAAGAUAAAUAUCAAGUCCAAAUAAAAAUUAUGCUUGACUAUGAACAAAUAUGCUACUUUUAAAAUAGAAAAACAAUAAACAAAAACUAAUGUUUCAUCUUCAAAAUGUGGCCAAAACUUCUUCACUGGUAUUUAUCAUCAUGACCUGCAUUAUUAUAAAUUGAGAAAAUAAAAAGAUAAGUAUGUACUAUCGUAAAAGAAAUAAAUAAAGAGAAAAAUUUAUGUAAGCAUUUAGAUAUAUAAAUUUAUCGUCAUGAGUUUUUGUAUAUAAGAAUUCUCAGCAUAAUAUGUAAAUAAUACUAAAACUUUGAUCCUAAGAACUUUCUUUUCGACUUGUAGCUCUGGACCAUCGUAGUUGUAAGAGGGUAACAACGCAAACAUGGAAUUGAAGUAGAAAAUGAAGCAAAUAGAAGGCCAUUUAUUUUCAAGAACAAUACAAUAAAGAGAGUUGCAUUAGUUAAUGGAAGACAUUUAUGGUAUUUGAUUCAAAAUGUAUCUCUUUUUUUAUGCAUCACCAAAAUUGUUUUCUCAUAGGCAAUACUCAUUUGGGUAAUUUAAUUAAGCUCUAUGGAGAUAAAAUAGCCUACCUCGAUUUCCAUAAACUGCACUUAUGAUCCAUAUAUAAAAACACCUUUGCUCGAGAGCUCCUGAAUCUGAUCAGGAAAAUAAGCUUUCAUAUCUUUAACAUAAAGAUGCUGAAAGAAAUAUCAUCCACAAUCAUAU